ACAACAUUUAUUUUGGACCGUCUGUUCACCGAGCAAUAUCACCUGCUUGGUGGAAGAUCUUCCCUUUGUCGU
rnacentral:pre_miRNA from 1 species